rnacentral:tRNA from 1 species
UAAAACAUAGUGUUCGAAAAAUAUUUGGCCGUUAACCAAAAGAAAUUCUUAGAAAAAAAAUAAGAAUUGUUUUAU